rnacentral:lncRNA from 1 species
CCUGGCGCACCGGGCGCUCUGGCUGUGGAGAGCCGCUCCCGCCCGCUGCCCGUGCUUGCGGGGCGCAGGGGGCCCUUCCGCGAGGUGGCCAGGGCUUCAUUACCGAUUGCGCACGCAUGAAACCAGACCUGGGGACAUCUUGGCUGCUACCUGUGGAUUCCACAUCUGUUCCCCUAUUACACCCAUUUAAAAAGUUGCUACAUCCUCUAACUGAAAAGAGAUUUUAAUGAAUGUUACAGGAACAAAUUGCAUGCCUAAUGAGAGUACUGCUUCUCCCAAGUAAGCUGACAACACAACUUUUAAUGAGCAUAAUCAGAAAUGAGAUGUCAAUC